GAUGAAGAACGCAGCGAAAUGCGAUACUUGGUGUGAAUUGCAGAAUCCCGUGAACCAUCGAGUCUUUGAACGCAAGUUGCGCCAGAAGCCAUUAGGCCGAGGGCACGCCUGCCUGGGCGUCACACGUCGUUGCCCCCCCAUCUACUCCUUCGGGAUUGCGGGGGGCGGAUGAUGGCCUCCCGUGCGCCUCGUCGCGCGGUUGGCAUAAAUGCCAAGUCCUCGGCGACGCACGCCACGACAAUCGGUGGUUGCGAAACCUCGGUUGCCCGUCGUGUGCGGUCGUCGCGCAUCGAGGGCUCGAAAAAAUUGCCGGGCUCCGGCUCGGCUUUCAACGCGACCCCAGGUCAGGCGGGGUUACCCGCUGAAUUUAAGCAUAUCAAUAAGCGGAGGA
rnacentral:misc_RNA from 1 species